UUCCCGCCGCAACCCUGUGAGUGUGGAGUUUGCAUGUUCUCCCUGUGCUGUGGGGGUUUUCUCCCCAGUCCAAAGACAUGUAUUGUAGGCUGAUUGGCGUGUCCAGUCAUGUCCGUAGUGUAUGAAUGGGUGUGUGAGUGUGCCCUGUGAUGGAUUGGCACCCUGUCCAGCAUGUACCCCUCCUUGUGCCCCAUGACCCCUGGGAUAGGCUCCAGGUUCCCACGACCCUGUAGGAUAAGCAGUACAGAAAAUGCAUGGAUGGAAUAAUUGACAGUAAUAGUAAUUCAAUAAAGAGACACUAUUGUGUCGUAUUAAACUCAGUGGGGUGUUGGUUAAUAAUCAGUUUCUUUAUUGGCUGUGAUACAUUCAUUAAUUCAUUGAUCUUUCCUCCAGGGUUUUUUACAGAAGCAGUAACUUGUUCAGCACUGAACGGUGUUCGGAUCCUUUUUCUACUUUGGAUUGCUCUCCACUUGAAAACAUUUGAAUGUAUGAAUUGAUGAUCUCAUGGAUAAGUGGUCUUAUGAGAACUUCUCAGUUAUUGGCAUUAUGUAAAUAUAUAGCUACAAAUCUGAAAGAAUAAUCCAUUUGCAGUUUAAAUUCGCAGUAAACACGUUUUUGAUAUAAUCCUUUAAUAAAUCGUUUUUUAAACUAGUUUUCUUUAUAGAAACUGUGUUAUGUUACAUAGCAGAGCAGGAAAUAAUGACUUUUUGAGUAUCACUGCCAUUACAUUUAAUUGUAAAGUGUUAGAUUUGGCACUUUGUUGGAGGCUGUUUAAUGUGACACUGGAUCAGCUGCAGGUGUGUAUAAAGGUUUGCAUGUCUGAUAAAGUCAUUUAAAUAUUUUUUUUUUUUGGUAUUUUGGUAUCUCUGGAAACACCUGCACCAGGUCAUCAGUGUUUAGGAUUACUUUAGUUAGGCUUUUUGAAACUGGGAAUGAGUUAUAAAUGUGGGAUUUAUGAAACACUGGCCUAAUCAGUACGUACUGUGUCCUCAUUAUAUUUCAGAUUAUCACCGCCAAAUAAUUAACCGCUUGGCAAUUCAACUACAAUAUGCAAUGAUAAGUGUUGUUGUUUAUUUACGUGAGUAUCAAACCAUUACACUAUUACCAUCUGCAAGAUGUUAUUUCAUUCUUGUAUAAAGUAAAAAGAUAAGAAAGUAAAAUGAUUUGAAAAUCAUGUCUUUGGAAAAGAUAAAAAAGAAUUAGUCUCUAUUUUUAUCAUUUCUAAGACACAAAUUAAAGUCAUUGUCAGGAGGUAAUUAUCCGUAUCAGCGUCUUGGUCUAUUAUCUUUUAUCACAUCUUGGAAAAUGAUAUUACUUUGGUUUAACCCCUUGCUUGGGGUAGAGAAGUCAUUUUAAAUGCACAGGUCUGAUUGUGCUUUAUUAAAAGGACGAGACAGAGCUGUUUGAAUGUGACUGCUGUUAUAUAUGUGACUGGAUUAUAAUUGUUCCAGCUCUCCUCCAGUGCAGUUUACUUCAUCUGAGUAAAACUUUAAACUUCAUUAUUAAGGCUUCUUGCUGCAGUUGAUGUGAUAACGUCUACCGCUUGAAUGAUCCCUAUUUUUUUAUAUUAUAUUAUAUUAUUUAUUUCCUUUACAUGUUUUACUGCUGUAUGUCUCUAAGCAAAGUGUUUCAUAUUUUUGUUUACAAAGCACUGUAUGUAUUUGCGUAAUAUAUACUAACAUGAUUUUUUGCUUGUGUUAUUGUCUAGCUCUUGUUGUGGAUGUCUGGUAUAGACUAAACACUGGAGGGAAAGUGGGGCUUCUGAUAUGUCUGCUACUGGGGCCACUUUCUACUUUUCUGUAUAUUCUGUAUGUUACCACUACUGUAUGCCGUGGAAGGACUCUACAAGAAGAAACAAGCUUUAGUUACGAUAUUACAGAACUCAGCAAUUUUCUACGACUAUUUGUUAUUAUAAAUACAUAUGGAUUUCAGUCAGGACUUCUGGCAUUGGCACUAAUUCCAGUUUUUGCACGGAAUUUUUUUGAACAUUGUUUAUAUUAUUUAUCUACAUGUAAGUACAUUAGAUAAUUCUUUAUUUGACUCAUUUUAGAUCAUUUAUUUUUACCAGUCAAACAUUACAUUACAUUUCAUGUAAUAUGUGUUCAUAACUAUAUUA